UACGUAGGGGGGCUAGCGUUGUCCGGAAUCAUUGGGCGUAAAGAGCGCGUAGGCGGCCAGAUAAGUCCGGUGUGAAAGUCAAAGGCUCAACCUUUGAAAGCCGGUGGAUACUGUGAGGCUAGAGUACGGAAGAGGCGAGUGGAAUUCCUGGUGUAGCGGUGGAAUGCGCAGAUAUCAGGAAGAACACCGGUGGCGAAGGCGGCUCUCUGGGCCUUACCUGACGCUGAGGAGCGAAAGCGUGGGUAGCGAACAGG
rnacentral:rRNA from 1 species